rnacentral:rRNA from 1 species
AACGAACGCUGGCGGCAUGCCUAACACAUGCAAGUCGAACGAGACCUUCGGGUCUAGUGGCGCACGGGUGCGUAACGCGUGGGAACCUGCCCUUAGGUUCGGAAUAACUCCCCGAAAGGGGUGCUAAUACCGGAUAAUGUCUUCGGACCAAAGAUUUAUCGCCUUUGGAUGGGCCCGCGUUGGAUUAGCUAGUUGUUAGGGUAAAAGCCUACCAAGGCGACGAUCCAUAGCUGGUCUGAGAGGAUGAUCAGCCACACUGGGACUGAGACACGGCCCAGACUCCUACGGGAGGCAGCAGUGGGGAAUAUUGGACAAUGGGCGAAAGCAUGAUCCAGCAAUGCCGCGUGAGUGAUGAAGGCCUUAGGGUUGUAAAGCUCUUUUACCCGGGAUGAUAAUGACAGUACCGGGAGAAUAAGCUCCGGCUAACUCCGUG